rnacentral:misc_RNA from 2 species
CCGCGCCCCCAACACCCCCCCGGCCGCAACACCAGAGGCGGCCCAGUAAGGUACCCUAGAAAGACAGACGCCGAUCGCGUCGCGGAAGUGGUUAGACCCUGGGGUUGUAGUCCCUAUCUCUUGGCGAUAGAAGGGACUAAUUCCUUUUGGGGCCUAAGCUUAGGUGGGUAGAGCGCAAGCCUGAUUAGCGUGAGGUUGAUUGUUCGAGGCCCUUUAGGCCCCCCCUUUUCCUUAAAUUUCAUUCCCCAUAAGGGGCCUUAGGUUCACCGGGAGAGCGCCUGCCCUGCCCGCCGGAGGUUAACGGGUCGAACCCCGUAAAGUCCCCCCUUGCCCAUUUUUCGAUGGAGCCUUUUUAAAAUAAUGGUCUUUGAAAACUAGAUAUUGACAUCCAAACAAUAAGCCAGGCAGAUAGAUUUAUUUAAUUUGCGGCACAGCACAGGAUCUUUGAUGUGUUAAAGCUUUCUUUUACGUUUUUUAAAAG